UACGUAGGGCGCAAGCGUUAUCCGGAAUUAUUGGGCGUAAAGAGCUCGUAGGCGGUUUGUCGCGUCUGCUGUGAAAGACCGGGGCUCAACUCCGGUUCUGCAGUGGGUACGGGCAGACUAGAGUGCAGUAGGGGAGACUGGAAUUCCUGGUGUAGCGGUGAAACGCGCAGAUAUCAGGAGGAACACCGAUGGCGAAGGCAGGUCUCUGGGCUGUAACUGACGCUGAGGAGCGAAAGCAUGGGGAGCGAACAGG
rnacentral:rRNA from 1 species